rnacentral:rRNA from 1 species
UGGGUGGCGAGUGGCGGACGGGUGAGGAAUACAUCGGAAUCUACCUUUUCGUGGGGGAUAACGUAGGGAAACUUACGCUAAUACCGCAUAAGACCUUAGGGUGAAAGCCGGGGACCUUCGGGCCUGGCGCGGAUAGAUGAGCCGAUGUCGGAUUAGCUAGUUGGCGGGGUAAAGGCCCACCAAGGCGACGAUCCGUAGCUGGUCUGAGAGGAUGAUCAGCCACACUGGAACUGAGACACGGUCCAGACUCCUACGGGAGGCAGCAGUGGGGAAUAUUGGACAAUGGGCGCAAGCCUGAUCCAGCCAUACCGCGUGGGUGAAGAAGGCCUUCGGGUUGUAAAGCCCUUUUGUUGGGAAAGAAAUCCUGCCGGUUAAUAACCAGUAGGGAUGACGGUACCCAAAGAAUAAGCACCGGCUAACUUCGUGCCAGCAGCCGCGGUAAUACGAAGGGUGCAAGCGUUACUCGGAAUUACUGGGCGUAAAGCGUGCGUAGGUGGUUG